rnacentral:rRNA from 1 species
AGAUUGAACGCUGGCGGCAUGCCUAACACAUGCAAGUCGAACGGGAGUAGCAAUACUCUAGUGGCGGACGGGUGAGGAAUACGUAGGAAUUUGCCCUUAAGUGGGGGAUAACCCGGGGAAACCCGGAUUAAUACCGCAUGACCUCGAAAGAGCAAAGUGGGGGAUCGCAAGACCUCACGCUUUUGGAGAAGCCUACGUCGGAUUAGCUAGUUGGUGAGGUAAUGGCUCACCAAGGCGACGAUCCGUAACUGGUCUGAGAGGAUGAUCAGUCACACCGGAACUGAGACACGGUCCGGACUCCUACGGGAGGCAGCAGUGGGGAAUAUGGACAAGUGGGCGCAAGCCUGAUCCAGCAAUGCCGCGUGUGUGGAAGAAGGUCCGUUCGGUUGUAAAGGACUAACUUUAAGGUUAGGGUAAAGAAAAAACGUCG